CCAGAGAUGGAUUGGUGCCUUCGGGAACUCUGAGACAGGUGCUGCAUGGCUGUCGUCAGCUCGUGUUGUGAAAUGUUGGGUUAAGUCCCGCAACGAGCGCAACCCUUUAUCCUUUGUUGCCAGCGGUCCGGCCGGGAACUCAAAGGAGACUGCCAGUGAUAAACUGGAGGAAGGUGGGGAUGACGUCAAGUCAUCAUGGCCCUUACGAGUAGGGCUACACACGUGCUACAAUGGCGCAUACAAAGAGAAGCGACCUCGCGAGAGCAAGCGGACCUCAUAAAGUGCGUCGUAGUCCGGAUUGGAGUCUGCAACUCGACUCCAUGAAGUCGGAAUCGCUAGUAAUCGUGGAUCAGAAUGCCACGGUGAAUACGUUCCCGGGCCUUGUACACACCGCCCGUCACACCAUGGGAGUGGGUUGCAAAAGAAGUAGGUAGCUUAACCUUCGGGAGGGCGCUUACCACUUUGUGAUUCAUGACUGGGGUGAAGUCGUAACAAGGUAGGCGUAGUGCU
rnacentral:rRNA from 1 species